GCUGUGUUUACGUGACUGAAGACACACGUGAAGACCAGACAGGUACAGAUGAACUAAGCUAAGGUAAGAACAUAUCUCAGUAUAUAAAAACGGUGGCCUGUUCCUUUAAAACUAAGGCGUUGAGCGGAAAACUAGACAGAAAUGUUUCUCCUGCAGCGUCUCGAUGUAAAUUUCAAACCUAAUCACAGCGUCAGGACUGCUCACAAAGAUGUAAUGAUUCAAGUUCCUUUCCUCACAUUGUUCCGUGUUUCUCACCUGUGCUUUCCGUUGCUUUGCUCUAAUGCCCCUCUCUCCACUCUCGCCGUCGCGCUCGCUCAGAGGAAGAGUAAACACGGUAAGGACGCGAAACUCCAGAAAGAGCGGCUCCGCAACGAGAGAAACUCACCGUCCUCCGCCUCGAACGUCCCCAGCAAAUCCCCGAGACCGAAACACGAUAAAGAGAACAGGCGGCUCACGGUCAAAACGCACGACCUGGAGGCGGGAAAGGGCUCAGCAAACACAGCUCUGAAUAGGUGGCGCCACAGAGAUUCAGAAAACCAGGAGCGAACUGGAGAAGAGGAAGAGGACGAUGAAGACGAUGAGGAGGAGGAAGAGGAGGAAGAGGAACACGGCUCCAGGUCAGAGGAGAGUUUAGACGAAUCAGGCGAAGUCCAGGAGACGGCGAGUUUAAAGAAACCUGAUGAGGAAGACUCUGCUCAGGAGGAAGACUCUGCUCGAGAGGAAGACUCUGCUCGGGAGGAAGACUCAGCUCAGGAGGAGGAGCCUAAAGAAACGGAGGCGACUGAAGCCAAAGACGCCGUCCAACCGACCAAUGAGACGACAGAGAGCGGCGGCGCCAGCGACCAAUCAGGAGUCUCCAAGAAGCUUUCUCUGUUCAGGAAACUCUCCUUCACUCGUCCGAAACCACCGCAGGACCCGCCUUCAUCUGCCUCUGCCCCGCCCCCUUCUGCCUCUGCCCCGCCCCCUUCUGCCUCUGCCCCGCCUCCAUCUGCCUCUGCCCCGCCUCCAUCUGCAUCUGCCCCGCCUCCUGCCGCCUCUGCCGCACCGCCCACCCCGGACACCAGGGGCAGCAGAGCUCUGCCCCGGCGCAGCAGCACGUCUGGAGCCUGUGUGCUGCUCUGAGCGACAGACUCGACGGAGCUUUUCUUCGUUUUAGGAGAAACGGCUCUUCUGCACUUUGUGAAGAACCUGGUGAGGUCCCGCUCCUGCAGUUAAAGAAGCUCUCACGCUGCAUUCAAUAAACGCUGGGAUUUUAUUCUAUUUAUCGGGUGAAAUGUUUCCAACACCAGCCGAGCUUAAUCAAGUCGCUCUGAAUAUAAUUAAGUCAUAUUUUUCACUGAAUAUUUGUAUUAAAUGUUUAUAUUUUUACUGGUGUUUCCUCUGACACGGGUUUGUACGUUUGUGCCUGGUUUGGUAAAUAUAAGAUGUUUUAUAAAAGAGAAGAAGAGUCGCUUUGGAGCUCCCUCUGUUGGACACCACGUGGAACUGCAGGUAACGACUUCAAACGAGUUCAAAUGAUUAAAUGUUUGAUACUUUUUAAGUGUUAUUACUUAUGUUAAUGCACGAAAACAUUUGGUUUGAAUAGUAAUAAUUAUUAAAACCACCAAUGUUAAAGUUAUAUUAUUACUUUAAUGACGUCAUGAUGAUAAUUGAACCGAUAAAUAAACUCUAAAUCAUUACACCGCCGCUCCCUCUGGCGGACACACGUGGGAACUACAAGUGCUGUUUCCAACUUUGAUCAACUUUAUUAACGCAGCAAAACAUGACGUCAUAUUGAGUCAUUUCAAAAUGUUUUGUAAAUGUUUUGUAAAAAUGUCUUUUUAUUGUUUUGCUCAGUGUCUUG
rnacentral:lncRNA from 1 species